rnacentral:rRNA from 1 species
CCCAGACAGCCAGGAUGUUGGCUUAGAAGCAGCCAUCAUUUAAAGAAAGCGUAAUAGCUCACUGGUCGAGUCGGCCUGCGCGGAAGAUGUAACGGGGCUAAACCAUGCACCGAAGCUGCGGCAGCGACACUGUGUGUUGUUGGGUAGGGGAGCGUUCUGUAAGCCUGCGAAGGUGGCCUGUGAGGGUUGCUGGAGGUAUCAGAAGUGCGAAUGCUGACAUAAGUAACGAUAAAGCGGGUGAAAAGCCCGCUCGCCGGAAGACCAAGGGUUCCUGUCCAACGUUAAUCGGGGCAGGGUGAGUCGACCCCUAAGGCGAGGCCGAAAGGCGUAGUCGAUGGGAAACGGGUUAAUAUUCCCGUACUUGGUGUUACUGCGAAGGGGGGACGGAGAAGGCUAUGUUGGCCGGGCGACGGUUGUCCCGGUUUAAGCGUGUAGGUGUGUGUUCCAGGUAAAUCCGGUUCACUUUAACACUGAGGCGUGAUGACGAGGCACUACGGUGCUGAAGCAACAAAUGCCCUGCUUCCAGGAAAAGCCUCUAAGCAUCAGGUAACAUCAAAUCGUACCCCAAACCGACACAGGUGGUCAGGUAGAGAAUACCAAGGCGCUUGAGAGAACUCGGGUGAAGGAACUAGGCAAAAUGGUGCCGUAACUUCGGGAGAAGGCACGCUGACACGUAGGUGAAGUGAUUUACUCA